GAUGAACGCUAGCUACAGGCUUAACACAUGCAAGUCGAGGGGAAACGACAUCGAAAGCUUGCUUUUGAUGGGCGUCGACCGGCGCACGGGUGAGUAACGCGUAUCCAACCUGCCCAUCACUUGGGGAUAACCUUGCGAAAGUAAAACUAAUACCCAAUGAUAUCUCUAGAAGACAUCUGAAAGAGAUUAAAGAUUUAUCGGUGAUGGAUGGGGAUGCGUCUGAUUAGCUUGUUGGCGGGGUAACGGCCCACCAAGGCAACGAUCAGUAGGGGUUCUGAGAGGAAGGUCCCCCACAUUGGAACUGAGACACGGUCCAAACUCCUACGGGAGGCAGCAGUGAGGAAUAUUGGUCAAUGGGCGAGAGCCUGAACCAGCCAAGUAGCGUGCAGGAAGACGGCCCUAUGGGUUGUAAACUGCUUUUAUAAGGGAAUAAAGUGAGAGUCGUGACUCUUUUUGUAUGUACCUUAUGAAUAAGGACCGGCUAAUUCCGUGC
rnacentral:rRNA from 1 species